rnacentral:rRNA from 1 species
GCAGCCCUGUGAAGGUGAGCAAAUCCCAAAAUAACGUCCCAGUUCGGAUUGUAGUCUGCAACCCGACUACAUGAAGCUGGAAUCGCUAGUAAUCGCGGAUCAGAAUGCCGCGGUGAAUACGUUCCCGGGUCUUGUACACACCGCCCGUCACACCAUGGGAGUCGGAAAUGCCCGAAGCCGGUGACUCAACCGCAAGGAGGGAGCUGCCGAAGGUAGGAUUGGCGAUUGGGGUGAAGUCGUAACAAGGUAAC